rnacentral:lncRNA from 1 species
ACAUAAUGGAUAAUUUACUUAAAAAGCAAACCCCUAUAUUUUGAAACUUAAUUUUAGAAAUAGAAAAGAUUACUGGCAGCCAAACAAAGUAUUUACUCAGGUGCCUCGUAAACAUGAUUUGGCAUCCAAAACCUGGAUAUGACUUAGAGAGGAGCUCACACCUUUGAACAAACUGUGCUUUUCUAAUCCUGCACCUUUAUCUGAGCCAAAGCCCCAGGUCAGGGCUAGGAAAGUCAAGAAAUAGGAAGGAAAUCGGUCAGUUUUCUAUCAUCAUUGGCUGCUGUGUAUAACCUCAGCAGAGUGGACACCAGGGAGCGCUGAGCUAGUGAAAAUCCAAUUCAGUUCUUCCUUCUCUAUGAUGUAUUUUAAUGAAGCAAGCAGAUGAACACCAGUGAGAUGUACUUCUACCUCAUUCCUAUCUUAUAGAUGAAGAAAUUGAGGCUCAGAGAUGUUAAGUCACAGAGCUAAGAAAUGACAGGGUCAAGAUCUGAACCCCUGUUCAUCUGACUCCAAAGCCUGUGCUCUAUGUUACCUACCUCACUAUGAUGGUUGGGAUACUCAUGACAUUGGCCAGUUAAAGGCCACUGAAACCAGAGAGCAUAUGACAGCUGUAAUGUGAUAUGGAAGUAUCUGUGAUUUUUCCUGGUGACAGAAUCAAAGGUUGGGCUUGAAAGUGUAACAAGAGGUUAAAAUAGAAGUUCUAGCUGAAGCACAAAGAAAGUAGAAACAACACAUCAAAGUGAGGGAUUUAUAAAGCAGGAGACUGAAAACCAGCUGGUGACUCUUGAAUUCCUCACCCUUAUUGAGAGUAUAAAAGGCUUAUAGCCCUCACCCUUUCACCUCAAAUCAAGAGGGAAGGGUUUUAGAAACACAACUUGGAGAGCUUAAUAUGUAUCCCUGAAGUUUGAGGAAAGGGGACGUAGUGUACUGACUUCUGCCUGGAAAGUCUAACAGGUGGGAGAUUAAUUGACUGCAAUGAAGGAGAAAGCCAAUGACAGGUUGCUUCUUGACUGGAAUUGUUCAGCACUCCAGAGGCUGUCAGGGAAAGGAUGUGAGCAUGCUGCCUGGAAUCUGAUGUGGCUCAGCUGUAGGACAAAGAUAGUGUGUUUUCUUAAGUUCUGACCAAAUGAACCACCUUAAGAGACAAAGAUCACUCAGCAAGGAAAGCUGAAGAUGCUAUGAGAUGCCAGAGGUUGGGGAAGGAGCAAACAACCAGCUGGAAUGGAUAUGCCUUUUCUCAAAGAAAAUUGCAAGUGGAAGAAUUCCAGCCAUGGGGUCUCCAAAGCAUCCGUGAAACUGUUCCACAAGACAAGGAUGGAUGACUGAAUGCCAAACCCAGAGAGCAGUGAAGCUAAAUCAACUCAAUCAUUUCAGUGAAGAAAGAAAUCUCCUGUCCUUUCCUGUCCCUGAACUCCAUGAUGAAGGGCCAUGUGCUGUAGGUAGCAAAACAGGGGAGAAAGAAUUUCAGUUUUCCUUUUCCCUUGAAAUUUUCUAGCUAAAUCAGUCCGAAAUGUGGAAGGAAAAAGCAUGAAGUUUUUUAUUUUUAUUUUUUGAGACUGAGUCUUGCUCUGUUGCCCAGGCUGGAGUGCAGUGGUGUGGUCUUGGCUCACUGCAACCUCCUCUUCUCGAGUUCAAAUGAUUCUCCUGCCUCUGCCUCCCGAGUAGCUGGAAUUACAGCCGUGCACCACCAUGCCCAGCUAAUUUUUAUAUUUUUAGUAGAAACAGGUUUCACCAUGUUGGCCAGGCUGGUAAUGAACUCCUGACUUCAGGUGUCUGCCAGCCUUGGCCUCCCAAAGUGCUGGAAUUACAGGCAUGAGCCACCACACCUGGCCACAUGAAAGCAUGAAAUUUAAUGCAGAUAGAUUUACCUAUCAUAUAAAAAUGGAAAACCGAAUUACUAAGUGGAACUGAUAUUUUGUGAUCCAGGAAUGACCAUGUCUGAACUUUCAUUUGAGGGGAAAAAGGAUAAUUAACACCAUUGAACAAAUUUAAAGGGAGAAUGGAAGACAAAGUAAAGUUGUUUUAUGUUUACAUACAGCUGUGCUAUUAAGAAAAGCUACCGAUUUUUAUUUUUUGUCUCGUACAAAUUUUUCUCAUUAAAGUUAUACAACCAACAAAAAUAGAUUUGUAUCUUCUUUUCUACUAUGAGUAUUGAUUAUUUUUAUCUCAUUGCAUUUGCUUGGA